GAUGAACGCUGGCGGCGUGCCUAAUACAUGCAAGUCGAGCGAACAGACGAGGAGCUUGCUCCUCUGACGUUUGCGGCGGACGGGUGAGUAACAUGUGGAUAACCUACCUAUAAGACUGGGAUAACUUCGGGAAACCGGAGCUAAUACCGGAUAAUAUAUUGAACCGCAUGGUUCAAUAGUGAAAGACGGUUUUGCUGUCACUUAUAGAUGGAUCCGCGCCGCAUUAGCUAGUUGGUAAGGUAACGGCUUACCAAGGCAACGAUGCGUAGCCGACCGGAGAGGGUGAUAGGCCACACGGGAACGGAGCCACGGACCAGACUCCUACGGGAGGCAGCAGUAGGGAAUCGUCGGCAAUGGGCGAAAGCCUUACGGAGCAACGCCGCGUGAGUGAUGAAGGUCUUCGGAUCGUAAAACUCUGUUAUGAGGGAAGAACAAAUUUGUAAGUAACUAUGCACGUCUUGAUGGUACCUGAUCAGAAAGCCACGGCUAACUACGUG
rnacentral:rRNA from 1 species